rnacentral:rRNA from 1 species
CCUACGGGAGGCAGCAGUAAGGAAUCUUCCACAAUGGACGAAAGUCUGAUGGAGCAACGCCGCGUGCAGGAUGAAGGCUUUCGGGUCGUAAACUGCUUUUAUAUGGGAAGAUUAUGACGGUACCAUAUGAAUAAGGACCGGCUAACUACGUGCCAGCAGCCGCGGUAAUACGUAGGGUCCAAGCGAUAUCCGGAAUUACUGGGCGUAAAGCGUGUGUAGGUGGAUUAAUAAGUGUGAUGCGAAAUCCGGCGGCUCAACCGUUUGGACUGUGUCGCAUACUGUUAGUCUAGAGGACGGCAGAGGUAAGUGGAAUUACGGGUGUAGCAGUGAAAUGCGUAGAUAUCCGUAGGAACACCAAUGGCGAAGGCAGCUUACUGGGCCACACCUGACACUGAGACACGAAAGCGUGGGGAGCGAACAGGAUUAGAUACCCUGGUAGUCCACGCCGUAAACGAUGCAUACUAUUAGUAUGGGGUAUCGACCCCCUGUGCUGAGAAGCUAACACGAUAAGUAUGCCGCCUGGGGAGUACGAGCGCAAGCUUAAAACUCAAAUGAAUUGACGG